rnacentral:rRNA from 1 species
AGGGUUCGAGUUCUGGCGUCAGGAUGAACGCUGGCGGCGUGCCUAACACAUGCAAGUCGAGCGAUUUACUUCGGUAAAGAGCGGCGGACGGGUGAGUAACGCGUGGGUAACCUGCCUCAUACACAUGGAUAACAUACCGAAAGGUAUGCUAAUACAGGAUAAUAUAAGAGAUUCACAUGGAUUUCUUAUCAAAGCUCCGGCGGUAUGAGAUGGACCCGCGUCUGAUUAGCUAGUUGGUAAGGUAAUGGCUUACCAAGGCGACGAUCAGUAGCCGACCUGAGAGGGUGAUCGGCCACAUUGGAACUGAGACACGGUCCAAACUCCUACGGGAGGCAGCAGUGGGGAAUAUUGCACAAUGGGCGAAAGCCUGAUGCCAGCAACGCCGCGUGAGUGAUGAAGGCCUUCGGGUCGUAAAACUCUGUCCUCAAGGAAGAUAAUGACGGUACUUGAGGAGGAAGCCCCGGCUAACUACGUGCCAGCCGCAGC